GGCCUUUCUGUUACCCACUCACUUUUAGAAACUAGUGAAUUUGGUGUUAAAAAAGGCAUAAGCUAAAUACUUUGCAGGCUUUUUCUACCUCUGAAUUUUAUAUCUUUGACAUAAGAAUUCCUUAAGUAGCAAAU